AUGGAGCGGGGUGUGGAGCCAGGGGGCCCAGGUCUACAGCUUCUCCCCACUCCCUGCCCCCAAUGCUCCCAG
ensembl:miRNA